rnacentral:lncRNA from 1 species
CAACACAGCAAUGUAUAGCACCUGUAACCUGUCCGUGUCUCUUCUUUGUAAUUGUGCCUUCACGCUACAAUAUGU